UAGAUGAUUUAGUACGAGAGGAACUGUGAUUAUGCCUCUGGUUAGCGAUAUCGGAAACGGUAUGUCGCGCAGCUACGCGUCUGGGAUAAUGGCUGAAAGCCUCUUAAGCCAGAAGCCCAUCUAGAAAGUGAUGCACGUGAUGUUGGACCGAUACGAAUAAUCAUACUCAAAAGGUCCGCUUCAUAGGUAACCCAAUGUAGAAGACAUUGUGUGAACGAAGGUACUGUAAGCAGUGGAGUGGCAUUACGUCCACGACCUGUUGAGGUUCAGCUUCGCUUCUAGGUUUCC
rnacentral:ncRNA from 1 species